GCCUGGUGUGUGUGUGAAGAGAGAGAGCGGAGAUGGGGAAAAAGUAACGGUUAGCUACAGAAGAGACGACAAGAAAAUAAAUAAAAGGAAUAUAAUAACUCCCUCGACAGCCAGAGUUGUGUCGGCGAUGCUCGCUGAGCUUCACUGUAACAGUCCAUGCUCUACUCCUCUCUUCAUUCCAUCUGCCUGCCUCCCUGCCAUGGCUACUGGGAUUCAUGCAAUCACGACAUCUGACAGGAAACUCACCCGGACCUCUCUGACUGCUUUCCCCACCACGUUGUUCUCCACCUGCGAACGAUGACUCUGAGCACCUUCUCCAAACCACGACCCAUUUCACCUUUAGCCCCCGUUCGUGGACUCUUUAAUCUGUAUAGUUUCAUCGCUCUACGUCUGGCUCACAGUUCAUGUUUGAAUUAUAGUGCCUCCGUCCGUGUCCGCGUUUGGGUUCAUUCUCCUGGCCCUGACAAGCAGAUGCUGAAGCACAUAGUGUGCAGAGGUUACCAACUUUCUACAGAGUUAAUCGCUGCAGCCCUCCAAACUUCAUGUGGUCUUCAGCUCAAGAACAGUGCAUAGAGAGCUUCAUUAAAUGGGUUUCCAAGGGGUAGUAGCUGUUGUAGGUUUUAGCAAUAUUGGCUUAUCUCAACUGGCACCCUGUUACAGCCAUAAUCUAAUAAUCAGGCCCCAUCUUAUCUUAAAAACCUUCUAAUAACAUAUCACCCCAAUAGAGUACUUUAUUCUAUUCAGACUUACAAAGUCAAGAAUUGUAAGAUGAGGUUGACUGACAUAUUGUUUGUAUAUCAAACAAUGCCUAGCUUUAAAGCAGCUGGCUUGACUUGGGUGUGGAUACAAAAAUAAAAGUAACAGUAAGUUAAAAAAAAAUAAAUAAAAAAAAUAAAAAAAUAAAAAAUUAGAUCAAGGUUCACAAACACAGCACAAAACAGCUGAACAAAAGACCACGGAAGUUGAAUAAAACAUAAGACAACGCAAUAGCGGUGGAAAAAAAAAUUGUCACAAAACACAAAUGAAAUAUGCUUAAAAGAAGCAGAGGUUUCAUUAGUGUUGUGAGGGAGAAAAAUAUGCAGUAAUGUGUGUUCUUAUUGCAUGAUUCAUAUAAUACUGUAGAUACAGCUAAUAGCUGCGGUUACUUCCGCAGCUGUUCCUACAUUACUGUCUGCCCAAAAACACUUUCAUUUUAUUUUGUUCAACCUUUGUGUUGUGUUGUAUUAUGAUUUGUGUACUUUUGCAGCAUUUUUCUAUCUGCUGGAAGCUUAAGUUGCAGUGCAGUUGACUGCAAAGAGCCACCACAGUAUGUCCUGGUUAAAUAAAUAAACGUGAAGGAAAAAAAAAAAAAAAAAUCAUGACAGCCAGAUAAUUGAGCGUGCGCACAUAUAUAUAUUUUAUCCUUACUGUAAACAUGCAAAUGUUUAGUAACAAGAUUUGCUGGUCUUUGAGGGAUCUGUGGAAUAAGUUUUUCAAAAAAACAAAUACAAAAAAAAAAACAGACGCAACAUUACAAUAAGCUACCAGAAAAAACAGUAAUACUGAAAUCUGUGGAGAACACGCGCGCGCACUUGCACAAACACCGAUUACACAAGGACGACAAGGACAAGCAAUAAAAACCAGCUCCUAAAAGCCUAGGAAAAGCCCAUACACACAUACAGUACAGGGAUAUGCAUGCACCUGGCAAUAGCAACAUUUAUCCUUCCAUUUUUAUACCUGUUUAUCCAUUCAGGGUCACAGAAGUAGCAUCAUAAAGUCUGAUCGCAC
ensembl:lncRNA